CCACCCAUCAGAGUGGUUGUGAUGUGGUGUUGUUAAUUCAUAUCACAGCCAGCUUUGAUGAGCGGAA
rnacentral:pre_miRNA from 1 species